UGAAGUUUGAAAAUAAGAUUGUUUUGUGUAACAUCGCCAUCUCCCGUACAAAAGGAUUAAUUAAAAAAGGUUUAGCUGAUGGUAAUGUGGACUCACCUUGACAGAUAAAUGUAUCAUAGUAGGAAAGCAAAUUGGACCUCUGGAGGACCCGGUAAAGUUGAAGCUCAGAAUCAUUUAGUGGGCAAGAUGUCAUUGCGACUAUAGAGUGUGAAAUGAAAAGAAAUAUAAUUAAUUAUGGGUCAAAGUCAAUCAUUUCAACCAAAUUGUAACAAUAAUCAUUCAAGUGGCCAAUCAAUGUGAACUCUAAGAUUAAUAUUAUAUAUUUUUCCAGCUCAUAUUUAGAUGUGUCAUCAAAUCCUGAUAAUUUUAAUAGCAUCGGACAUGUUCAAGUUUCUUUGCAUCUUUACCUUGAUCUGAAUCAGCUAAACUUCAAUGAAGUUUGGCUCAGAAUGCAACAGUCUUCUAUAAAGGAAAAUUCAACGUAAUUUUGCUUGCUUUCAAAAAAGGAGUUAAUUUGAGAGCUUUAGAUUAUACAAAUAUCAAAGGAUAAAGUUCACCAAGCGAUAAAGUACCUUUCAACAAUGAAUGAUAUUCAUGAUAUGGGUUGAUGUAUCAUGUUAUCUCAUGUUACUCCAGCUAAUUAGAUUUAAUUAUCAACAAAGGAGCAAUAAAAUGUAUCUGAUUGGAAACAGUUUGGAAAAGAAGAGGAGAAAAGGAUCUUAUUCUUGGAUUAUCUUGGACGUAAUUUCAGGAAGGAAACUCAAAAAUUUAAAUUCAAUUAUUUGAGUUUAAAACUCGUUGUUAGGAUAAGCAAAUGAUUUAAAGUAUGUUAGGUCUAGGAGAGAUGCAAGAAUCCGGUUUGCUGAAAACAAUGGAUUACCCAUUGAUGAACUAUGACCAGUUAAACUUGGUGACCCUUGAUUUGGCGAGGAACGGGAUAAACUUUGAUCUAAGGAUGACCUUAUAUUUGAUGCAGAAUGGUCGAUUGGUAGCAUCGAGGAAUUACUUGUGUUGUUACAAUUGGAAAAAAAUAAAUCAAUUGAAGCACUGAAUAAAGUUCAUUAGAAGGACAAAGAUGAAACAAAAAAAGCUGAUGGCGAACCGAAGGAGGAGUUAAAAUUAAAAACAAAAUGGCAAUCAAAGGAAUUUAUAUGGCGAACGAAGGACGAUGAUGAUUAUGAUGGUGAUGGCAAAAGGACUUUUAAACAAAGAAGAUGAUGAGAAGGAAGAGGAAGGAGGAGAUGAUGUAAAUGAGAAUCAAAGUAAAAGAAUCUGAAAAUUCCCUCGAUGUUGAAACAUGUUUCAAUGGUAACAACGAUGAUAAGGAAUGGUGACUAUGAUGAUGAUGGUGAAUGGAGGGAGGAGAAAACGAUGGCGAAUAUGGAAGAAUGAUGAUGAUGAUGAAGUUAACUCGAGGCUUCGAGGCUAUCGAUUAUUUCACUUUUGCGCUUAUAGAAACUUGCGUCGAGGAAAAAAACUUUUUAUUCCUCGAUGCUCUUUCACUCUUCUUUUUCUUCUCCUUUCUCUUCUUUCUUGCUUUCUUCGGUGUUGAAGUAAUUCCAAUGAAAUGACACUUUACAUGAGAGGCUGGACGAAGGAUAAUGAUGAUGAUGACAAAACCAUUGAACCAAUAGUAACUUCGAUGAUAAUGGAUUUAUCCCUCGAUGAACUUGCUAUUUACCCUCCUUCCUUCCUACUUGUUGUUUUUCUUGUACAAGUUUUUCGUCUUGUUCUUAUUUUGCCUGAUUCAACCCAACCUAACCCUAUCUCACUCACUCGAUGCACCAAUGGUAUCAAUAAGAAACACAAUAAGAAAGAGGAGGAGAAAAGAUGAAAGGUAUCACUUGCUGCACACAAAAGAUGCUGAUGUUUAUGUGGAGAAGGUGAAGGAAAAAGUCGACAAAAAAACGUGAAACUUUAACACGUAAUAGAAAUAAGUUAAGGCCUAAAAGGGUUAAAAAUAUUUACAUCGAGGAGAAACUGAUGACAAUGGAAGGAACAUAAGGAAAGUUGGACACUUGAAUAUAAGAAGCAUUUGGAUAGAUGUUGACUUCUUGACCGUACACUGGAGGAUUGUUCAGAAGUUUGGUGGAUAUGAUCAAACAAUGUAUGACAAUAUGACAAAAUUUAAUCCUGAAACACUUGGCCUGAUUUGUGUUAUUGUCAUGUAUCGUUACCAACAUUAAUGAUUAUUGUUAUUGGCCGAAACAGCGGUUAUGGACGGAGAUAUUGUGUCAAGAAAAGGAAAAAAUUUACUUACAAUGAUUUGGGUUGAAUCAACAGCAUCCUUAAAAAGCGUCAAUUAGUUAUUGAAUGUGAAGAUGGAAAUAAAUUGAAAGCAUAAACAAUCAAUGGAUAAGUAGGAAGCAAAUGUAAUCCAAAGGAUCAAGACAUUUAUUGGAAACUACAAUAGUUAUCAAUAUAAAGUAAAAUAUAUUUACAACAAGAA